CCCUUAGAUGUUCUGGGCCGCACGCGCGCUACACUGACGAUGGCAACGAGUUUUUCCUUCGCCGAAAGGUGUGGGUAAUCUUUUGAAACAUCGUCGUGCUGGGGAUAGAUCAUUGCAAUUUUUGAUCUUGAACGAGGAAUUCCUAGUAAGCGCGAGUCAUCAGCUCGCGUUGAUUACGUCCCUGCCCUUUGUACACACCGCCCGUCGCUACUACCGAUUGAAUGGUUUAGUGAGGACUCCUGAUUGGCGCCGCCGCCCCGGCAACGGAGUAGCGGGCUGCCGAAAAGUUGUUCAAACUUGAUCAUUUAGAGGAAGUAAAAGUCGUAACA
rnacentral:rRNA from 1 species